AUACGGAGGGUGCAAGCGUUGUUCGGAAUUAUUGGGCGUAAAGCGCGUGUAGGCGGCUUGGUAAGUCAGGUGUGAAAGCCCUUAGCUCAACUAAGGAAAGUCAUCUGAAACUGCCAGGCUUGAGUACGGGAGAGGAGAGUGGAAUUCCCGGUGUAGAGGUGAAAUUCGUAGAUAUCGGGAGGAACACCCGUGGCGAAGGCGACUCUCUGGACCGAUACUGACGCUGAGACGCGAAAGCGUGGGGAGCAAACAGGAUUAGAAACCCCAGUAGUCC
rnacentral:rRNA from 1 species